AUGGGGCAGGUGAGCAUAACAAUUCUAAACUUACUUUUUUGUAGGCUUAAAGGGAUUUCUAAGACAAGAUCUUCAAAGGUGAACAGUGAAUGUAUGGAUGGGUUUUUAGUCUAGUUCUUGAAGCCUGCAAAUAUUCAAAUGCCAACAAUCUUUCUGUAUAUAGAUAGAGCAUAACCUGCUGACACUGCCCAAAAUUCCCUUAUAGGAGAAAGAUGUGUAUAUAUACAGAGCUGGUGUUUUCACCGUAGCACCUGACCUAUAGGAUUCGGGAACAGGAUCUGCGGAGGCAGCUUCCACUUUGUCAAGUAAACUUAGAACACCUUCAGUAGAUCUGUGAUUGCUGGAGAAGAAUGUAAACAAUGAGCCUGCACCGUAAGAGGAGGAAGUGCUGGCGGCCUGUUCAUAACACGUAUUAUAGAAAGAAGGUGAUCAUCCUGGUGUACACAAGAGUACAGACACAAUAUGGUCCCCUCUGGCCUAUUGAUGGACAGCAGAGACAGUCUAGUAAGCUCAAUGCUCACACCGAUUACUCAAUAGGAGUCUGUUCUAUUCCCUAAUGAACAAUUCCAAUGGAGAAAUCUGGAGUUUCCUUUUCACGAUAAAUAAUUGAAUCUAAUGUCAUUGACAAAUAUGAAAAAAAUACAAG